rnacentral:tRNA from 1 species
AGUCUUAUAUUCAAUAAAAUGAUUUAAAAUUGCAAAUUUUAAGGAGUAAAUAAAUAUUACUAAGGCUU